rnacentral:tRNA from 1 species
UGUGAAAUAGAGCAAUUUGGCAGCUUAUUAGGCUCAUGACCUAAAGGUUAAAGGUUCAAAUCCUUUUUUCGCAA